CCUCACAUUGAGCUUGGUGAAGGACCUUACAAUACCAUAAGAUGGAACCCCAAAGGACGAUUUAUUGUAUUAGCAGGAUUUGGUAAUUUGCCUGGUGAUAUGGCGUUCUGGGAUUAUUCAGAAAAGAAUUUGGUGGCGAAAACAAAGGCAGAAUGUUCUGUCACAAGUGAAUGGUCCCCUGAUGGUCGUCACUUUAUGACUGCUACAACAGCUCCAAGGCUCCAAAUAGACAAUGGG